UCCUGGUUAGCCCUGCUGGUAAAGCUCUCCGCUAGUCUUGGAGAGGCCCCGGAAUCGAAUCCCGGACCAGGCU
rnacentral:tRNA from 1 species